rnacentral:misc_RNA from 1 species
GUGUGGUUGGCUGCGGCGUUUGCAACAACUUCCAUGCUUUCAGACCUCUUCAUUUGUGCGGCAAGGCUUGUAUCGCCUUGAGCGUAUUGUGGGUUUUCUGUGUUGAAUACCUAAUCAAUGGUAUCGGUUGGAUUGAUCAAUGUUUCAUUUCGUCUGACGUCGCAUUCACGGCGUGAGAUGAACCUUGAUGCGGUCUCUUUGAUCCACCUUGUUGAAGCGCAUGCUUUGACGUUGUGGCGCAUUGAGCAUUGCUUGGUCUCUUGUAUGCGGAACAUGUAGUGGGCAUGAAUCUCACGAUUCUCGUUUGCCCUCAUAUUAGCGUAACGCUUCUCUUAAAYGACUUGCUCCACGUUUUAGCUUGUACGGACGUGGU